rnacentral:rRNA from 6 species
UUAAAUUGAAGAGUUUGAUCAUGGCUCAGAUUGAACGCUGGCGGCAGGCCUAACACAUGCAAGUCGAACGGUAACAGGAAGCAGCUUGCUGCUUUGCUGACGAGUGGCGGACGGGUGAGUAAUGUCUGGGAAACUGCCUGAUGGAGGGGGAUAACUACUGGAAACGGUAGCUAAUACCGCAUAACGUCGCAAGACCAAAGAGGGGGACCUUCGGGCCUCUUGCCAUCGGAUGUGCCCAGAUGGGAUUAGCUAGUAGGUGGGGUAACGGCUCACCUAGGCGACGAUCCCUAGCUGGUCUGAGAGGAUGACCAGCCACACUGGAACUGAGACACGGUCCAGACUCCUACGGGAGGCAGCAGUGGGGAAUAUUGCACAAUGGGCGCAAGCCUGAUGCAGCCAUGCCGCGUGUAUGAAGAAGGCCUUCGGGUUGUAAAGUACUUUCAGCGGGGAGGAAGGCGAUAAGGUUAAUAACCUUGUCGAUUGACGUUACCCGCAGAAGAAGCACCGGCUAACUCCGUGCCAGCAGCCGCGGUAAUACGGAGGGUGCAAGCGUUAAUCGGAAUUACUGGGCGUAAAGCGCACGCAGGCGGUCUGUCAAGUCGGAUGUGAAAUCCCCGGGCUCAACCUGGGAACUGCAUUCGAAACUGGCAGGCUAGAGUCUUGUAGAGGGGGGUAGAAUUCCAGGUGUAGCGGUGAAAUGCGUAGAGAUCUGGAGGAAUACCGGUGGCGAAGGCGGCCCCCUGGACAAAGACUGACGCUCAGGUGCGAAAGCGUGGGGAGCAAACAGGAUUAGAUACCCUGGUAGUCCACGCCGUAAACGAUGUCGACUUGGAGGUUGUGCCCUUGAGGCGUGGCUUCCGGAGCUAACGCGUUAAGUCGACCGCCUGGGGAGUACGGCCGCAAGGUUAAAACUCAAAUGAAUUGACGGGGGCCCGCACAAGCGGUGGAGCAUGUGGUUUAAUUCGAUGCAACGCGAAGAACCUUACCUACUCUUGACAUCCAGAGAACUUUCCAGAGAUGGAUUGGUGCCUUCGGGAACUCUGAGACAGGUGCUGCAUGGCUGUCGUCAGCUCGUGUUGUGAAAUGUUGGGUUAAGUCCCGCAACGAGCGCAACCCUUAUCCUUUGUUGCCAGCGGUCCGGCCGGGAACUCAAAGGAGACUGCCAGUGAUAAACUGGAGGAAGGUGGGGAUGACGUCAAGUCAUCAUGGCCCUUACGAGUAGGGCUACACACGUGCUACAAUGGCGCAUACAAAGAGAAGCGACCUCGCGAGAGCAAGCGGACCUCAUAAAGUGCGUCGUAGUCCGGAUUGGAGUCUGCAACUCGACUCCAUGAAGUCGGAAUCGCUAGUAAUCGUGGAUCAGAAUGCCACGGUGAAUACGUUCCCGGGCCUUGUACACACCGCCCGUCACACCAUGGGAGUGGGUUGCAAAAGAAGUAGGUAGCUUAACCUUCGGGAGGGCGCUUACCACUUUGUGAUUCAUGACUGGGGUGAAGUCGUAACAAGGUAACCGUAGGGGAACCUGCGGUUGGAUCACCUCCUUACCUUAAAGAA